CCCCCCCCCCUAAAAUCUUUUAAUAUUAAUCAUCAUUUUUUUUCUCUGCUAAUAUUAUGAAAUUGAGUGGGUUUUUCUGCACAUCACAAAAAGUUUGGUGGGAUUUCUGAAAUUUUAAAAUCUCUCAAUCCCAUACUCGGUAAAAUUUAUCAAAUAUAUCGCCGAACGGCGUCGUCGAGAACUAUGACUCCGGCUAUAGAACACACUCCCUCUCCGAAACAAAUUUCCGGCGAUUUCCUGCUCCUAAGCACGGCGGUGAAUCCAUGGUUAUCAUCUCCAGUGUUUCUCUCAAGCUCGUGUUGACAUUAAUCCUGUAACUAUGCUUUAAUUUCUCUUAGAAAGGUGGGUUUCCGUAGAUGUCUUUAACAUACACUGCUAGUUUCCUGAUUCCCCAUGGGACAAUGUGUAGCCAGCUUGACCCUGCCUGAUUCAAGUGCGGUAAGCAGCAGCAUGAGACAAGAGAAUGUUAUGAGCUACAACGUAAGGUUCGACCGAUGACGUCCCCUUCUUACAAAACCAAUGUCCCAGAAGUGAGCACCUCCCUGGAGCCUGUAUCCCUGUGUCAUAGCCUUGGAUCGAUAACCCGUGAGGCUCAUUGAAAGUGACCCAGUACUUCACUCUAUCUCCAAAUGCAUUGAAACAGGUGAAUGCAUAACGCUCAAAAUCAUCCCUGCACCAUUUAUUUAGCUUUUUGAUUUCGUAAUCAUCUCACCAUAUCAACAUUUCACAUUUUUAUCAAAAGAUCAUAUACUACUCACACGACUUCUCUGCUUAGCCAUCCUUCAUAUCUGUCUUCUAAAGCUUGUGGGAGAUCCCAAUGAUACAAUGUCACAUAAGUUUGGAGAUGAUGAUGAAGAAGAAGAAGAAGAUUGUCACCUGGUAAGCUGAAGAAGCUGUCCCGAACACAAACCCAUCUGGAAAAUUUGCUCUGCUGAUAGAUUCUGAGGAAACAUGAUCAAGAGGCACGAUGAAGACGAGCAAGAGCGGAAACAGAACGAAGACUCGUCUCAUUAAAGAUUCCAUUUUUGGGUCGCAUGAAUAAAAGAGAAAAGAGAGAGGAAGAUAAAGGGAUGAACUUUUUUGUGUGUAAAUGAAAGAUUUGGAGGCAAGAAAAUGGAGUUUUUGUGUGUGUGUGUUUGUAAAGUUGAAGAACAAAGAGGAAGAGUGCAAAACAAAAGGUCUCGUCUUUUUAAGGCUC